GCCGGGCGUGGUGGCGCAUGCCUGUAAUCCCAGUGGCUCAGGAGGCUGAAACAGGAGAAUUCUAAAUUCAAAGCCAACCUCAGCAAAAGUGAGGCACUGAGUAACUCAGUGAGACCCUGUCUCUA
rnacentral:sRNA from 1 species